UUGCGGGCCUUGCUGGACCUCUGCGCAGGGACUGAGGGCGGAGGGCGUCCGCGGGCCCCCGGAGCUGAGCGGCCCCCGCGACCCUAUGUCCGAGCCGUCCUGCUCGCACGCACGUCCUCGUCCUGGUGUGGGCCUCUCGUUAUUAGUGACAGCGCCAGGUGCAAGCAUCGGAGCGCCCAGGACCCUGCUUCAGACGUUCUGAGCUUUGAUGAAACAGGGCAUGGGCAGCCACGGCCCCAGGGAUGCUCAGAGAGAUGUUAGGAGGCUCCAAUGAGGUGACAGAACCGGCAGAUAAAUUAGAGCCCUCCGUGAGGGUGAUGCUUUGGCACCUCAUGGGGCUGGCAGUCAGGUUGAGCAGAGCUACCACCUCAUUUGUCACUCGGCGAACGCUCCUGGGCACAGCUCUGAGCCUGUGACCUCGCCAGGCCCUGGGAAUGCAGAAGACACAGGCCUCCCUUGCGGGGCUCACAUGCCACUCGGGAACAGGUGGAGCUGUCCACACGAGGGCAGGCCCAGGGUGCACGGGGAAUGGCAUAAAGGAGAUACAUAAGAUGUUGGAGCAGCAGCAGCCGGCUUGUGACAACGAGGCACAACUGGGGUCUACACAUUGA
rnacentral:lncRNA from 1 species